rnacentral:lncRNA from 1 species
UGGAAAAAAGGGGUCCAUGGAGUGUGUUUAUAAUAGACGGGUAGGAUGUCACAUUGCAAAACCCUAAUCUUCAAGUUGGCAAUGGAAGUUGAUUGAUUGAACCCCACCUCUCUUAUAAUGGACCCACCAACACAGAACAUUGUGUCUAUUCUUUCUUAAGUGGAUAACACAAACCACUUACUCUUCACUCCAAACAUCAACUCACUUACUCUCUGUUUUUCUCUGUCUCUCAU